UGAACCUGCGGAAGGAUCAUUACAGAGUUCAUGCCCGAAAGGGUAGACCUCCCACCCUUGUGUAUUAUUACUUUGUUGCUUUGGCGAGCUGCUCUUCGGGGCCUUGUACGCGCGCCAGAGAAUAUCAAAACUCUUUUUAUUAAUGUCGUCUGAGUACUAUAUAAUAGUUAAAACUUUCAACAACGGAUCUCUUGGUUCUGGCAUCGAUGAAGAACGCAGCGAAAUGCGAUAAGUAAUGUGAAUUGCAGAAUUCAGUGAAUCAUCGAAUCUUUGAACGCACAUUGCGCCCCUUGGUAUUCCGGGGGGCAUGCCUGUUCGAGCGUCAUUUCAACCCUCAAGCUCAGCUUGGUAUUGAGUCCAUGUCAGCAGUGGCAGGCUCUAAAGUCAGUGGCGGCGCCGCUGGGUCCUGAACGUAGUAAUAUCUCUCGUUACAGGUUCUCGGCGUGCUUCUGCCCAAACCCAAAUUUUCUAUGGUUGACCUCGGAUCAGGUAGGGAUACCCGCUGAACUUAAGCAUAUCAAUAAGCGGAGGGAAA
rnacentral:rRNA from 1 species